rnacentral:rRNA from 1 species
CCCUUGUCUUGAAACACGGACGAAGGAGUCUAACACGUGCGCAAGUUUGCGGGCUUUGUCGAAACCCGCGGGCGUGAAGUGAAAGCAAAGACUGCGACCAGAGGUCUGCCUUGUGCGAGACUAUUUGGCUUGUAGUUGACGGAGGAUCUCACGAAUGAGAGCAGUUUAUCAGGAUGUGUGGAUUGUUUCGGCAGUCUUCCUCCUGUGAGCUCGUUGUGUGGGCGCACUCCGGGGGCGUCUCUCCAUUACUCCCGCUCCUCUGCCCCCUAUGUCCCUGUUCUGUGCUUGUCAGGGUUGGUUGUUGGAAGCCUGGGUUUCGCCGGGUUUCUGGCAUUUUGCCAGUUCAGUCGGUGCAUGUGUGACCGUGGGGUGCACGGGUGGCCGAGUGGGGGGGCGCACCAAGAGCGUACGCGUUGGGACCCGAAAGAUGGUGAACUAUGCCUGGCCAGGAUGAAGCCAGAGGAAACUCUGGUGGAGGUCCGUAGCGAUUCUGACGUGCAAAUCGAUCGUCUGAGCUGGGUAUAGGGGCGAAAGACUAAUCGAACCAUCUAGUAGCUGGUUCCCUCCGAAGUUUCCCUCAGGAUAGCUGGCGCUCGAACCUGGGAUCCUUCAGUAAGAGGGUGAUGACGAGAGUCCCAUCCGGUAAAGCGAAUGAUUAGAGGCCUUGGGGCCGAAAUGACCYCAACCUAUUCUCAAACUUUAAAUGGGUGGGAAACCUGGCUUGCUUGACUUGAAGCCAGGAUGGCUCAUGCCUUUGAACUGAUCCAGGUGCUGCCCAGUGGGCCACUCUUGGUAAGCAGGACUGGCGCUGUGGGAUGAACCAAACGUUGGGUUACGGUGCCAAAGUUGACUGCCGAUCCGAAACCAGGAAAGGCGUUGGUUGCUAGAGACAGCAGGACGGUGGCCAUGGAAGAAGGGCGCAUCGUUAAACUCUGCAGGACUAG